rnacentral:lncRNA from 12 species
GGGAGGCCGAGGCUCGUCUGACCCCACUACGGGUGAUCCUCCAGCUGCUCCUGGGAGAGGAGAGCUCCUGGGUUCUCUGCCCAGCCCACCCUGUGACUUCAGAUGGGGAGACUGAGGCUCGGUGGAGGUGGUCACUCGGGGUCACAGAUAGGAGGAAGGGGCAGGAGCCAGGAAGACCCAGCAGGGAGGGGCAGAGACCUCAGAAUUCAGGGGAGCCCUCACCCCACUAUCCUUGCAGCUCGGUGCCCGCAUGCCACUCCUCCCCACGUGCAUGAGCACCUGCCCCAGGUGAGCACCUGCCCCUUGGGGAGCAGGCCCAGGAACAGGGGGCUAGACAGACGCUCAGAGCCCCUCCCGUCGGAGCUAGAGGAUCACAACCAUCCUUCUCCAAGAACAGGGAGGUGCCCCCAGCCAGGAGGGGCCGGGGCUGGGAGUCUGGGGGUCCGUGGGGAGGUGCCGGGCUGGCUGGGGUCCACCCUGGUGGCUGGGUCCAGGGAUAGCUUGAGCCUCUCAGAGUGCCCACAGAGUGACAACACCUCACAGGACUGGUCUCUGGAGGGUGUGCCUGGGGAAGAAGCAGCUCAGGGCCCCGGGCACGGAGCACAGAGUCUCUGGGCAGACACCCAGGUGAGGACUCGUGAGGGGUGCCCCAGAGCAGGGCCAGGAGGGGCAGGGUGCGGGCGAAGGAGAGGAGGCACAUGUAGGGACAGCUUCCUAGGCAGGACCGCCGGCGACCAGAAAGGGGCUCCAGAGAGAGCCCCUGAGACCAGUGGACAUCCCGGUCCGAAUGCCAGAGAAGAAGAGGCCGGAGGAACCCCGGGGGGGCGGGGCAUGGCUCCAGCCUGGCCCCGAUGACAGAGGCAGGGCCAAGAUCCCACCUUUCCAGACCGGGGGCCCCUGCAAGGCCAGCCCCCCAGUGAAUGAGCACUGCCCACGGAGAGGAACGCACACUGACCCAGACUUCAUAGCUGAACCCCAAAAUGCAGGGGUCAAGCAGGAAACCACCCAGUCAAUGCCUCAGCCUCAGG